GACAGAGGUGCCGAGCGUUAGGCGGAAUCACUGGGCUUAAAGCGUGCGUAGGCGGUUCGUUAAGUCUGUUGUGAAAGCCCCGGGCUCAACCUGGGAAUGGCAAUGGAUACUGGCGAGCUAGAGUGUGUCAGAGGAUGGUGGAAUUCCCGGUGUAGCGGUGAAAUGCGUAGAGAUCGGGAGGAACAUCAGUGGCGAAGGCGGCCAUCUGGGACAACACUGACGCUGAGGCACGGAAAAGCGUGGGGAUCAAACAGG
rnacentral:rRNA from 1 species